UACAGAGGUCUCAAGCGUUAUUCGGAAUCACUGGGCGUAAAGGGUGCGUAGGCGGCGCGGAAAGUCAGGGGUGAAAUCCCGGAGCUCAACUCCGGAACUGCCUUUGAUACUCCCGCGCUAGAGAGCUGGAGGGGACAUCGGAAUUCACGGGUGGAGCAGUGAAAUGCGUGGAUAUCGUGAGGAACACUAGUGGCGAAGGCGGAUGUCUGGACAGUAUCUGACGCUGAGGCACGAAGGCCAGGGGAGCAAACGGG
rnacentral:rRNA from 1 species